CCUAAUAAACGAUGGAAGAAAGUAGCAAUUCUUAUCAAGGUCAGCUCUCCUGGAUUUCUGUCCGUAGCGUCCAGUUGAAAGAAGAAGGUAUCCUUGGAGGAAACUUUGAAUCUGGGGGGGUGCGAUUUUUGUGCCCUCUUUAUGGAUGGCUCUUUUGUCCAUGAUUAAACCAUAAAAGGAUGAUCAGUUUUGAGUGAAAAUUGAAAAUAACAAAAGAUAUUUGGAUCAGUUAAUAAAUAUAUCCUGUGCCACACCGAAAAAUUGUUCAACAAUAAAGCGUAUAUAUUUCAGGAGUAAUGAAAUAAUAUAUUCACAAAUCCAUAGAAGUUUAUAAUUGUUUAUUUCCUGGCUUUCUAGUUUUUACUAGAAAUUAAAGUCACUAAGAGUUAAGAAUUCUAAUACAAAAACUGCUAGAAAUCAUGAAGGAAAUACCUCAAUAUGAAAAGCUACAAUGAAGUUUAAUUCUGGAACUCAGCCAGGCCCUUAAGAGGAUGGAGGCGAGUUUUUCCCACAGCAGUUCUGAAUGGGAUGAAGUGAAAAAUAAAAUCUCCCCAUUGCCACUACACCACCUCCAGCCAUGUAAGACAUGCCUGCUCCCCUUUACCUUCUGCC